UUGAUGUUUUAUUCCUGCUCAGAUUGAACGCUGGCGGCAGGCCUAACACAUGCAAGUCGAGCGGUAGCACAGAGAGCUUGCUCUCGGGUGACGAGCGGCGGACGGGUGAGUAAUGUCUGGGAAACUGCCUGAUGGAGGGGGAUAACUACUGGAAACGGUAGCUAAUACCGCAUAACGUCGCAAGACCAAAGUGGGGGACCUUCGGGCCUCAUGCCAUCAGAUGUGCCCAGAUGGGAUUAGCUAGUAGGUGGGGUAACGGCUCACCUAGGCGACGAUCCCUAGCUGGUCUGAGAGGAUGACCAGCCACACUGGAACUGAGACACGGUCCAGACUCCUACGGGAGGCAGCAGUGGGGAAUAUUGCACAAUGGGCGCAAGCCUGAUGCAGCCAUGCCGCGUGUGUGAAGAAGGCCUUCGGGUUGUAAAGCACUUUCAGCGGGGAGGAAGGCGAUAAGGUUAAUAACCUUGUCGAUUGACGUUACCCGCAGAAGAAGCACCGGCUAACUCCGUGCCAGCAGCCGCGGUAAUACGGAGGGUGCAAGCGUUAAUCGGAAUUACUGGGCGUAAAGCGCACGCAGGCGGUCUGUCAAGUCGGAUGUGAAAUCCCCGGGCUCAACCUGGGAACUGCAUUCGAAACUGGCAGGCUAGAGUCUUGUAGAGGGGGGUAGAAUUCCAGGUGUAGCGGUGAAAUGCGUAGAGAUCUGGAGGAAUACCGGUGGCGAAGGCGGCCCCCUGGACAAAGACUGACGCUCAGGUGCGAAAGCGUGGGGAGCAAACAGGAUUAGAUACCCUGGUAGUCCACGCCGUAAACGAUGUCGAUUUGGAGGUUGUGCCCUUGAGGCGUGGCUUCCGGAGCUAACGCGUUAAAUCGACCGCCUGGGGAGUACGGCCGCAAGGUUAAAACUCAAAUGAAUUGACGGGGGCCCGCACAAGCGGUGGAGCAUGUGGUUUAAUUCGAUGCAACGCGAAGAACCUUACCUGGUCUUGACAUCCACAGAACUUACCAGAGAUGCUUUGGUGCCUUCGGGAACUGUGAGACAGGUGCUGCAUGGCUGUCGUCAGCUCGUGUUGUGAAAUGUUGGGUUAAGUCCCGCAACGAGCGCAACCCUUAUCCUUUGUUGCCAGCGGUUAGGCCGGGAACUCAAAGGAGACUGCCAGUGAUAAACUGGAGGAAGGUGGGGAUGACGUCAAGUCAUCAUGGCCCUUACGACCAGGGCUACACACGUGCUACAAUGGCAUAUACAAAGAGAAGCGACCUCGCGAGAGCAAGCGGACCUCAUAAAGUAUGUCGUAGUCCGGAUUGGAGUCUGCAACUCGACUCCAUGAAGUCGGAAUCGCUAGUAAUCGUAGAUCAGAAUGCUACGGUGAAUACGUUCCCGGGCCUUGUACACACCGCCCGUCACACCAUGGGAGUGGGUUGCAAAAGAAGUAGGUAGCUUAACCUUCGGGAGGGCGCUUACCACUUUGUGAUUCAUGACUGGGGUGAAGUCGUAACAAGGUAGCCGUACGG
rnacentral:rRNA from 1 species